rnacentral:rRNA from 1 species
UACGGGGGGGGCAAGCGUUGUUCGGAAUUACUGGGCGUAAAGGGCUCGUAGGCGGCCAACUAAGUCAGACGUGAAAUCCCUCGGCUUAACCGGGGAACUGCGUCUGAUACUGGAUGGCUUGAGAUUGGGAGAGGGAUGCGGAAUUCCAGGUGUAGCGGUGAAAUGCGUAGAUAUCUGGAGGAACACCGGUGGCGAAGGCGGAUCUCUGGGCCGAUACUGACGCUGAGGAGCGAAAGCGUGGGGAGCGAACAGG